ACGACGCUGGCGGCGUGCCUAACACAUGCAAGUCGAGCGGGGAUUGUGGAGAGCUUGCUCAAAGCAAUUCUAGCGGCGGACGGGUGAGUAACGCGUGAGCAACCUGCCUUUCACAGGGGGAUAACGCAUCGAAAGAUGUGCUAAUACCGCGUAAGACCACGGUGUCGCAUGACACAGGGGUCAAAGGAGCAAUCCGGUUUGAGAUGGGCUCGCGUCCGAUUAGCUAGUUGGUGAGAUAACAGCCCACCAAGGCGACGAUCGGUAGCCGACCUGANAGGGUGAUCGGCCACAUUGGAACUGAGAUACGGUCCAGACUCCUACGGGAGGCAGCAGUGGGGAAUAUUGGGCAAUGGGCGAAAGCCUGACCCAGCAACGCCGCGUGAGGGAAGAAGGGUUUCGGAUCGUAAAGCUCUGUUGAGAGGGACGAGAGGCAAGGCUAGGAAAUGAGCUUUGUAGGACGGUACCUUUCGAGGAAGCCACGGCUAACUACGUG
rnacentral:rRNA from 1 species